GGCUUCUCCUAGAGGCCUUGGGAACCAGGCGCUCUGUUACGGCCUGGGCUGCAGUGCCCGGGCAGACGGCGCCCGCGGCCCACGACGCUUCCGCAGGGUCGGUGGCCAGUGAGCUUCGCCGCCUGGCCUCCUGCCGACCGCCGAUCGCCUGUGUUCGCGGCCUUUUCUCAUCCACGGUCCUCAGUUCCCUCGCCUUCGAAAAUGGCGAGGCGAGUGUCGGGGUCAGUCCAGCCUAGGAUUGGAAUGCUGACCUGCUUUUUGGGUGGGAGGGCAGGAGGAAAGAUUCCCCACGCCGAGGGGCAACUGAGGCCAUGGACCGAAACCAAAGAAGCCACCACAAUGAGAAGCCCAAGCACCAUAACUAAAGAGUAGCCCCCACUCACCACAACUAGAGAAAGACUGCAUGCAGCAAUGAAGACCCAGCACAGCCAAAAAUAAAUAAAUGAAUGAAUGGGAAAAAAAAAAAAAAAAGAUUCUCUGGGCCACUAAUCCCAGUGAAAGAAAAGAAAGGAAAAGUCCUGCAAGAAACCAUGGGAGAAUUUGUGUUAAUCUCCAAGAGACCUUUCUGAAUUAUUAAUAGAACACAAACCCCUGAAGCCAUAAAUGACUGAAAAAACUACCUACAUAAAUAUCAAAACAUGAUGUGUGACAAAGACCUACAGGCAAAGUCCAAAGGCAAAGGACAAACUAGGAAUAAAUAUUUGUAAUUGUUAAUAAUCAAUAAUCAAAGGACUACUUUCCCUAAUAAACAGUCCCUACUAAUUAAUAAGAAAAGGACUGAUUCAUAUAAAUGGGCAAAAGAUAGGAACCAUCAGUUCACAGGAAAAAAAAAACCAAACAGAUGGCUCUUAACCAUAUGAAGAGAAGAAAUGAAAAUUAAAAAUUGACCGAGAUCCCAGUUUUCACCUACAAUGACAACAAAAUCUGAAAGUUUGAUGACUCAUGGGGUUGGUGGAACUGAGUGGAAAUAGACACGAUCAUUCAUUGUUACCACAUCCAAACAUGAAUACCAUCCAACCGUAAAGAAGACAAACAAGGAAGCUCGUUGCUGAUAGGGAACAAUCUCAGAUCAGUUGACAAAAGGGAAAUUCAAGGUGAUGGCCGGUGGGUAGAGAAGGUUUUCAUCUGUGUUUUAAAAACUAUUCUGUGAGAGAAAGUGGAGGGGGAAAAAAUGUACAUACUGUGUAUCUGUAUUUGGAUGUGUAUGUAUGAGCUCUCUGGAAAGAAAAAAAAGAGCUAGCAUUGGUUGUCUCUAGAGAGCUAGGACCAGGAGCAGAGGAAGCGUCAUUGUACACCCUUUGUAUCUUUCACACUUUGUGCAUUAUCCAUGUUUUAUUUAUUCUAAGUCAUACAUGAAUACUGAUUACCCAGACAGCCUCGUCACCAGCCAAGGAACCAACUCUUUUACUGGCUCCCAAUAUGUAAAGAAUAGUGACUAUACACUUCAUUUUUCUUAAAUCAAAAUUAAACAUGUGUGAAGAGGGACUUCCCUGGUGGUCCAGUGGUUAAGACUCCUCACUUUCACCACAGGGGGCAUGGGUUCAGUCCCUGGGCAAAGAAUUAAGAUCCUGUAAGCCCAACUGCAUGCCCCCCCCUCCAAAAAAAAGAAAGAAGAAAGUGUGGGGUUGCGAACGACAGAUUCCUGCCAACUCUCCUGUUUCACCUCAUCUUCACUGCCCAGAAAGAAUCAGCUCCUUACCUCAUUUUGGACUUGCUUCUGGUCCUUAUUUCCAUGCUGGUAAAUAAAUGUUUUUGUGGCUGGCUGUUGUCUGAAAUUUUAGGUCUUACCUCUAGAGUCCUGCUAAUGAUGAGUCAGGUUAUUAAAACCACAGCCAGCCUCCCCUGCCCACAUGUCAAAAUAAUUAUUUGUGUACAUGUUUUACAUCCUCUAUUAAUCAUUUUUAUAACUGAA